rnacentral:tRNA from 1 species
AAGGAUUUAAGUUAAACCACCCAAACUUUCAGCCUUCAAAGUUGAUAAUACUUGAUGUAAGCCUUA